AAUUUUAGAAAUUUAAAUAAGAUAAUAUAAUUUCUUUCUUAGAAGAGAAAUUAUAUUUUUAAUUUUUAUAAGAGUAAAAUUUUUGUUGUAAGAAAAAUUCUCUUAU
rnacentral:rRNA from 1 species